UACGUAGGGUGCAAGCGUUGUCCGGAAUUAUUGGGCGUAAAGCGUGCGUAGACGGUCAUGUAAGUCGGAUGUGAAAGCCCCGGGCUCAACCUGGGAAUUGCAUUCGAGACUGCAAGGCUUGGGUGCGGAAGAGGGAAGCGGAAUUUCCGGUGUAGCGGUGAAAUGCGUAGAUAUCAGGAGGAAUACCGAUGGCGAAGGCAGGUCUCUGGGCUGACACUGACGCUCAUGCACGAAAGCGUGGGGAGCGAAACAAGG
rnacentral:rRNA from 1 species